CGUGACCCAUUUACUCCAUAAACCUCUCUUUCCAGGUUCACACAGGCGGUAACUAAAACGCACUUAAUCCACAAAAAGCAAAAGUUUCGGCACCAUUUACAAAAACAAGAGCCGAUGCUGAUAAUUUGGGAGCACAGAGAUCCUCCUAUAAGGCGCAGAUCCUUAGCCACAGAGCCACCGCUCCGCCAAGGGAACAUGCAUCAUUCCAGCCUCAAGGAGAGUAACUAAGAGAAAUUGCUAAUGCACCAGGUAAG
rnacentral:lncRNA from 1 species